rnacentral:ncRNA from 2 species
AAGUUCAGACAGGGGCGCUAUCCACUAUGGUGGACGCUGAGAUGUACGAAAGUACGGUCCCUUAUGACCUGAUCUAGUUAAUGCUAGCGUAGGGAGUCUACUUGAUAGAUAU